GAAUAUUGGUCAAUGGGCGAAAGCCUGAACCAGCAAUGCCGCGUGAGUGAUGAAGGCCCUCGGGUUGUAAAGCUCUGGCAGAGGGAAAGAAAAAGCCGGUUAACAGCCGGACUUGACGGUACCCUCAAAGGAAGCACCGGCUAACUCUGUUCCAGCAGCCGCGGUAAUACAGAGGGUGCAAGCGUUGUUCGGAAUUACUGGGCGUAAAGCGCGUGUAGGCGGCUUAUUAAGUCGGACGUGAAAUCCCUUGGCUCAACCAAGGAACUGCGUCCGAUACUGUUAGGCUUGAGUAUCGGAGGGGGUGGCGGAAUUCCUGGUGUAGAGGUGAAAUUCGUAGAUAUCAGGAGGAACACCUGUGGCGAAGGCGGCCACCUGGAAGAUAACUGACGCUGAGACGCGAAAGCGUGGGGAGCAAACAGG
rnacentral:rRNA from 1 species